rnacentral:ncRNA from 1 species
UGAUAGCUAUGAAGCGUGAGGUUGCUGCCGCAACAAAAUAUAUAUAAGAAACGGCAGGUUUUCCGCGGAGCGAAUGUUGAUGGCGGGUAAUACAGAUACGAUGUAUUCCGCAAGAAUAUUAACGACAA